GUGAAGAGUUUCCUGCAGUGUCGGCCUUAUAUCUCACAGCUCAGUUUUUAUCGUGACCGGUCAAAACUUAAAGAACCAAUCAGGUUCUUAGUGGAUCUGUUCUGUGCAGCAGCAGAGAGAGAACAGCAGACAGGAGAGAAGAUGAUGGAGCUGUUAUCAUCAGUCUGUGGACAUAAAACAUUCCCUCUGAAUGACACAGACAUGAAUGAUGAUGAUUAUCAGAGUGAUUUCCUGCUGGAUCUGUACUCUCAGGUGAAGGACUGUGAGAU